rnacentral:rRNA from 1 species
CGUGGGUAACCUGCCCAAGAGAUCGGGAUAACACCUGGAAACAGAUGCUAAUACCGGAUAACAACAGAUGAUGCCUAUCAACUGUUUAAAAGAUGGUUCUGCUAUCACUCUUGGAUGGACCUGCGGUGCAUUAGCUAGUUGGUAGGGUAACGGCCUACCAAGGCGAUGAUGCAUAGCCGAGUUGAGAGACUGAUCGGCCACAUUGGGACUAAGACACGGCCCAAACUCCUACGGGAGGCAGCAGAA